CAAGAUUCCAACAGAGACUAAAGACCAGCAGCUCUUCCGGGCUCCUUCUAGACUCCAAGCACCAGAUCAAGACUGCAAAAAUAUCUACUCUGGAGGAUUAACUGACUACUGGAGUCUUGGUCUUUCCAUCAUGAGACAGCCAUCAUAGGACUACUCAUGUGUCCAGAUGUUGUCAACUGACUCCCAGGUGAAGAAGGUCCCUUUCUUGGUCUGCGGAAUGGAUUCUUAAGGUAUUCUGCAAUCGUCCAAGACCCUCCCAGCAGAGACAACUGUAUGAGAACAAGGCUGGCUGCCAACCCACAACAGAGGUCCCAGACAACACUUUGAUCUUGAACUUCUAGAACAGAGACAAAAUAGAGUUCUG
rnacentral:lncRNA from 1 species